rnacentral:rRNA from 1 species
GAGGCAGCAGUAGGGAAUCUUCCGCAAUGGGCGAAAGCCUGACGGAGCAACGCCGCGUGAGUGAAGAAGGUCUUCGGAUCGUAAAACUCUGUUAUUAGGGAAGAACAAAUGUGUAAGUAACUAUGCAUGUCUUGACGGUACCUAAUCAGAAAGCCACGGCUAACUACGUGCCAGCAGCCGCGGUAAUACGUAGGUGGCAAGCGUUAUCCGGAAUUAUUGGGCGUAAAGCGCGCGUAGGCGGU